rnacentral:lncRNA from 1 species
GGAGAUGUACAAAAUGGAGGAUACCAUCUUCUAACUCGAGGUUUUCUUGUAAUGGUACGAAAGAUUGUAAAAGGGGAGAAGUAAGCCCACUAAGCCUGGCUAGUUGUGCAUAGUGUCCUUGUCAUUGGCAAUGACAUCUGGCUUACAGACCAUCAUAAUCAUAAAAUUAGCUCCGUGUGGUCGCCAAGAUGUACAAAAUGUUCCAUGCAUGGAGAAAAUUAGCUCCGUGUGGUCGUGAAGAUGUACAAAAUGGAGGAUACCAUCUUCUAACUCAAGGGGUUUUCGUGAUGGUAUGAAAGAUUAUAAAAGAGGAGAAAUAAUAUCCCACUAAGCCUGGUUAGCUGUGUAUAGUGUCCCUGUCAUUGAGAAUGACAUGUGGCUUUCUGGCUUUACAAAACAUCAUCGUCAUAAAAUCUAACUUUUGGCCAGCUGAUUCCCAAUAUGCAGUACAGUUUCUUUGCCACCUUUUUCUAAAAUUAGUAUGGUUCUGUAUUAGUAGGAAGAUCUUCUCCAUCAGGGUCAGGGCCUCAACAGAUGGCCUCAAGUGGCCACUGCAUGAUUCCAUCACUGCAGAAACAAAACGGGUUAAACAAGUGCAGGCAUAUGUACAAAAGCGCCAUUGCCGACAUACAGACAGCACGAAAUAUCAAGGGAAACAUAUUUAGGUCUGUAGGAAUAAUGGGGUGAAUGCAGGUGAGAAGAUGAACAGAAAAGCUGGAGCUGAAGCAGCAGCUUUCCUGUGAAGCAGACUGAAACGCUGAAGCUCCAGCACUCUUGGUCCAUUUUGUUUUGAAGUGUUCUCUACAAGCCGAGGGUUUUCCAUUUUGGUAGGUUCUGCAUCCAAGUUUCCCAGGCAUGUUUUUAUUUCUCAUCAGUUCUGUAAGUUUAAUACAACCAAAAAGAAAAGUAACCUUGAGGCGCAGAGCUAGAACCUGGGUCUGUGAUAUUGUGGAUGGAUGGACUUGUACAAGUCCAAGACCAAAGAGAAUUUCAAGCAUACCUUAUUGCAUUGCAAUGUAAGCCUGUGGAUCAAGCAUUUUUACGAAGAGGAUUAAUGAAUGUAAAUUUUAUGAUAAGUGACAUCAACAAGAGAUUAAUAAUGAUGUAAUAUAACUAGAGCAAAUGGCUGGACCAAAGGUAUGUUGCUGCACCUAUCACGGAUAUAUCUAGUGAAAAUGUGACUCACCAGAACUAUAAGCAUGUCCUCCUUGCAGCAUGACUAUUUCAUUGAACAACAGCAUACUCGUUGAUGUGAUAAUCAUGAAGGAAAAAAUACAGCAGGAACUUAACCGACGCCUCUAAGAAGCGUAGUUUUAUGAUAGCUCUUACAGUGAAAGUUGCGACAAAACACGAGUUCCGCCUAAAAUUCACGGAACAAUCGUGGGAUCCAUGAAUGGCUUCUGCAAAAUUGUCGUUUCGAACAUCUAUUCAUCUCUGAUACAACUGUAAAUAGCUUCGAACUUGUCCACAUAGAUAUCAUGUGGCAUUAGAUAUCAGCCAUGCUAAUACUUUUGCUUUUACCCUGAAUUUCACCGGCAUGUUAAUUCUUAAAACUGUUGGGAAAUACCAUACAGGUAGCCCAAUGCAUAUUUAUCUAAUAGAAUGGUUAUUACAUUUUAUAUCUGUCAACGGAGUAGCUUGGUUUUUAAGAUUAAAAUACGUUCAAUUUAUCUAAAGACGAAAGAGAAAGGUGUAACAGCACCCGGAUGCCUAGGCACCCUUUAUGAACAGUAAAAUCAAAAAAUAGAAAAAAUGUUUAAAAAAAUCUGAAGCUUUGCAACAUAUAAGAUGGUCAAACUUUGUAGGUUCUUACAAGUUUUCCUACCAAGAUAUCAUGUAAAGAAAUGUGUACAAACAAGUUUCAGAUUUCAGUGCUAAAAGUGCUCAAAAUUUGAAGUACUAAAAUGUUUUUCCUCUGUAGAGCUCCUCAAAUGUUUUUAUUGGCAUGAAAACUUGCAAGCCCCUAGAAAUUUUGAUCACCUUUGAUCUUGCAAAGUUUCAGAUUUUUUUUUCUAUUUGUUUCGGUGUUACUGUUCAUUGAGGGUGCCUAGGCAACCUGGUGCUGAAAAUCCACUAUCAAGACGAAAUAGUUGCUCCAUACUAUGUAAAGAGCAGUGCAUUCCCUCUGUUUGAGCAUCAUAUCAGGAGUUACUUUCAGAGGAGUCAAAGUGCUCUCACCUAACAAAUCCCAAGGAAAAACCAUAUAAUUUAAAAUGCAACAUAAAGUUGUAUAUCAUGAUGUUUGACAUUCCAUAUAGGUUGACAUCUCGAAUAUAUUCUGCUAGCCCAAAAAACGUGAUGAUAAGAUACUUUGGUAAAGGCCUACAUGCACCGAACACGGGUAGAUAUUGUUCUCUGGGACGUGCGCAUAUAAAUAGACGUUGGACGGAAGAAAGACUGCAAACCAAGAACUGAAGAGACCGAAGUCCAAUAGUGGUGAUGCAUCAGCGGAGAGCAAGCCUUACAUGGCUGCAAGGGCCUUAUCUCUGAUAGCCAAGGAUGACUUGCCUGUGUCUUGUUCCUCCCUCAAGGCUUAAUUGGUCGCCUUGGGGUGUGGUUUCAUGGGCAGUCUUCUUGGCUAGCCUGAGUGGCUCCUGCGGCCCAUGCUAGGCUGUCUCUUCAUAAAUCAAUGCAUACUGAUGUUCAUGUUCAUGUUCCAUGCAUGGAGAAAAUUAGCUCCGUAUGGUCGCGAAGAUGUGCAAAAUGGAGGAUACCAUCUUCUAACUCAAGGGGUUUUCGUGAUGGUAUGAAAGAUUAUAAAAGAGGAGAAAUAAUAUCCCACUAAGCCUGGUUAGUUCUGUAUAGUUUCCCCGUCAUUGAGAAUGACAUGUGGCUUUCUUGCUUUACAAAACAUCAUCAUCAUAAAAUCUUACUUUUGGCCAGCUGAUUCCCAAUAUGCAGUACAGUUUCUUUGUCACUUUUUUCUAAAAUUAGUAUGGUUCUGUAUUAAUUAGUAGGAAGAUCUUCCCCAUCAGGGUCAGGGCCCCAACACAUGGUCUCAAGUGGCCACUGCAUGAUUCCAUGGCUACACUGCCAGUAGGAAAACUCGACGUAUCAUAAUCGCAACUAUCUCCUCAGGCGCACAAGGGACAACUGCCAAAAAACUCACACAAAACGUGAGUGCAUCUAUCAGUGUGUAUCUGUUUUUUUACCGUUUUCAGUCAAUCUCGUACUUUCGGUCUUUUAAUCUGCUCUGCGCGUGUAGAUGUUUUUUCUCAUGUUUGAUUGAGAGUUCAAGGCAAUCCGUUAAGAUGAAAAUCUAGUAUCUUCCUCCGUGGGCACUCUUUUUAUAGGUAUUGAUCUGACUAUGUUUCCCAAUCACAUCAUGUUGCUUUCAUUCAUGUACCGAAACACCAUGUGUUUAUGGAGGAGUUGCAUGCUAAGCUGACCAACAUUUAUGUUUUAUCUAAUUUUAACCUUGAACCACUAAGCAAUUGAACACAUAAGCGUUGGUUUGGACCAGCCCUGGAUUAAUAUUUCGUCCUACUUCAUUGUCGAUACGGAUGGCGUGAUCGAGCUCUCAAGGUGGGUUGUUUCUGUCGAUUUAAGAGAGAAACUGUUGUGAUGCUAUGGACGCCUCUCUGUCCGGUCUUCUUGCUCGGGAUACAAGUACAACUGAGUUCAAGCCAGAGUGCUCCGGCACGAGCUGCGGCAUGUGCGACCUCGGUUCGUGCAAGAUUCAAGUUGCCGUUGCUUGGUCCCUCUUUGUUAUUGUUGUGUGAACGCUGGUAGAGUUUGGUGGUUGCUCGAGCGGUGUCGAAAUGUUACGAAGCUGUCCAGUUUAGCUGUUUUCAGUGGUAGUAUUCCCAACUCCCAAGCCGUUGAACUGUCUCCCAAUGAUCAUGUUUAUUUGCUGAGAUGUAAGCUUGUCCCUGUAAGUUAUCAUGUUCUCUGUUGAUCCACACCGUGUGCCAUUGUUUGGAAGUCUUCUGUAUCACCCAGAAGCAAGAAAAGGAUUAAACGUUACUGGGAUUAUUUGGUCUUGUGGGAAUUUGUUUUUUUUAUGAAGGGCUUUUAUUACUUAAGAAGUUUUAAUCAUUACUUCCGGUCUUUUCGUAGCUAAGAUGCACACAGUCAUAAUCUCGAAGUAUAAAAAAUAGAACAACAACAGACGUACUACAAUUAUGUUGACGUAAAUCAUCGUCGCCUAUGGAGGACCUAUCUAGAGAUCACGCGGCCAUCCAUGUGGGAUGAAAAUAUCCCUCGCCACUUUCUUCAGUCGCACAGAAGCCUUUCUAAAAAGGUCUCGAAACUCCAUUCAUUGUAAUAUGAAUCACGAACGGAGAAUACUUGUACAUUGAAAGAGAACCUGCAAACGAGUUGAAUUUUUAUCAUUAAAAACUUUAUCAUUUCUAAUCAACCAUAGCCGUUUUCAGUGGUAGUAUUCCCAAGCCGUUGAACUGUCUCUCAAUGAUCAUGUUUAUUUGCUGAGAUGUAAGCUUGUCCCUGUAAGUUAUCAUGUUCUCUGUUGAUCCACACCGUGUGCCAUUGUUUGGAAGUCUUCUGUAUCACCCAGAAGCAAGAAAAGGAUUAAACGUUACUGGGAUUAUUUGGUCUUGUGGGAAUUUGUCAUUUUUAUGAAGGGCUUUUAUUACUUAAGAAGUUUUAAUCAUUACUUCCGGUCUUUUCGUAGCUAAGAUGCACACAGUCAUAAUCUCGAAGUAUAAAAAAUAGAACAACAACAGACGUACUACAAUUAUGUUGACGUAAAUCAUCGUCGCCUAUGGAGGACCUAUCUAGAGAUCACGCGGCCAUCCAUGUGGGAUGAAAAUAUCCCUCGCCACUUUCUUCAGUCGCACAGAAGCCUUUCUAAAAAGGUCUCGAAACUCCAUUCAUUGUAAUAUGAAUCACGAACGGAGAAUACUUGUACAUUGAAAGAGAACCUGCAAACGAGUUGAAUUUUUAUCAUUAAAAACUUUAUCAUUUCUAAUCAACCAUAGCCGUUUUCAGUGGUAGUAUUCCCAAGCCGUUGAACUGUCUCUCAAUGAUCAUGUUUAUUUGCUGAGAUGUAAGCUUGUCCCUGUAAGUUAUCAUGUUCUCUGUUGAUCCACACCGUGUGCCAUUGUUUGGAAGUCUUCUGUAUCACCCAGAAGCAAGAAAAUGAUUAAACGUUACUCGGAUUAUUUGGUCUCAUGGGGAUUUUUUUUUUGUUAAAGGGCUUUUAUUACUUAAGAAGUUUUUAGCAUUACACCCCAUCUCUGCAUAGCUGGGAUGCACACAGCCAUUAUCUCAAAGUAUAAAAAAAAAGAACAACAACAGACGUAGUACAAUCAUAUUGACGUAAAUCAUCGUCGUCUAUGGAGGACCUAUCCGGAAAUCACGCGGCCAUCCAUGUGGGAUGAAAAUAUCCCUCGCCACUUACUUCAGUCGCACAGAAGCCUUCGUAAAAAGGUCUCGAAACUCCGUCCGUUGUAAUAUGGACCACGAACCGAGAAUACUUGUACAUCGGAAGAGAACCUGCAAACGAAUUGAACUUUUAUCAUUGAAAACCUUGUUAUUUUUACUCAGUCAUAGCGAUCAUAUAACGGCAAGCGCUCAUACCCUUAAAAUGGUUCUAAACUUACUAUCAAUCCCAAAUAAACAGUUACCAAAAACAAGGCAACUGAAGUUGGUGAAUACAAGUUGGAAGCCAUCUGAAUAGCUGAUCAAAUAGACCGUGCAAACUGGCAGUCGAAGAAUAAGUGUUUUAUUGUCUCUUCUUGAUGAUAGAAUACACAUUUCGUGUUGCCAUGCCAGUUCCAUUUGACGAGGUUAUCUUUAGUUAAAAUGACACAUUUACGAAGGUACCACGCACGCGAAUAUUUUUAACUUCAGUGGAACCUUCAUACGUCAUAUUUUUAUUAUUAUUAUUAUCGACUGACACAUCAGCCUGUACUAACGCCCUAUAGAUGGAGUCCACCGAGAAUUUCUCAUUUCCCACAUAGAUUCCAACGGAACUCAUCGGAACCUUGCGUCAGCCGUACCGAUGCCACGCAUCCCAACAAGGUGUUCCAAGACUAUAGUCUCAUACCAGUUAAGUCACGUCUGAACGUCACAACUGAUGGCAAAUCUUGCAUAACAGAAGCAAGCGUAGCACCUUUGUGUCGUACAAUAUUAUAUAAAACUGGAUAUUAUUCUCGAAGGAUGGUAUUCCUUAAUCAAUUGUAUUUCCAAAAUCUAAUUUCGAUUCAUCCUUAAUCUUAUAUACCCCAAAGCGAAAGAAGUGUUUCUUAGUCGUCAUUGGGCCAGCCCAAAAAUGUGAGUCACCAGGUUUUCAUAGGACCUGUGAUAACGGUUUGUGCCAAUGUAUUUUCGUUUAAGAAGUGUUUGCCAACACCAUCCUCCGUAAGUAACUUAAAAAGCCACUUACCCGAGAAGGCUAAGUUCUUUACCUAUAGGUCAUGGGCCCAGUCAUCCCUGGUCUUUUGGUCGGCAGACGACAUUCCAUUUAACCCGUGGGAAUUUGGUGAGAUCAACAGAAAAAAGCUGGACCUGCAACAGUUCUUUUUUUUAUAAUGGGCUUUUAUUACUUAAACUAUUUUAAGCGUUACACCCGGCCUCUACAUAGCUAAGAUGCACACAGCCACAGACCAAAAGGUACUAAAAAUGAAACAGCAACAGACGUAAUACAAUCUAAAUCGUCGUCGUCUAUGGAGGCACUAUCCACAGAUCACGCUGACAUUCAUAUGGGAUAAAAAUAUCCCUCGCCGCCUUCUCCAGUAGCACAGAAGCCUCCGUAGAAAGGUCUCGAAAGUUUGUCCGUUGUAAGGGGUACCACGAACGGAGAAUACAUGUGCAUCGAAAGAGAACCUACAAAGGAGAAGAAUUUUUAUCAUUAAAAACCUUGUCAUUUCUACUCAGCCAGAGUGAUCAUAUAACGGCAAGCGCUCUUACCCUUAAAAUGGUUCUAAACUUAUGACCGAUCCCAAAUAACCAGUUACCAAAAAUAUUGGUAACUGAGGUGGGUGGAUACAAGUUGAAAGCAUUUGGAUAGCCGAUCAAAUAGACCAUGCAAACUGGCAAUCAAAGAAUAAAUGUUUUAUUUUCUCUUCUUGAGGAUAGAAUACACACUUCGUGCUUCCAUGUCAUUUCCGUUUGACGAGGUUAUCUUUAGUUAAAAUGACACAUUUGCGAAGGUACCACGCGAAUAUGUUUAAUUUGAGUGGAACCUUCAUCUGCCAUAUUUUUUGUUAUUAUCGUCUGGUACAUCGAACUGUACCAUCGCCCUAUACAUGGAAUCCACGGAGAAUUUCCGAUUCCCACAUAGAUUCCAACAUAACUCAUCAGAACCUUGUGACAGCUGAACCGAGGCCAGGCAUCCCAACAAGGCAUUCCAAGUCUAUAUAGUCUCCUACCAAUUAAGUUCUGUUUGAACGUCACAUCUGGUGGCGAAUCUUGCAUAACAGAAGCAAGCGUAGCACCUUUGUGUCGCACAAUAUUGUAUAGAGUCAGAUAUUGUUCUUUAAGGGUGGUAUUCCCUAACCACUUGUCCUCCCAGAAUCUAAUAUCCGAUCCAUCCUUGAUCUUAAAUACCCCGGACCAAAGCGAAAGAAAUGUUUCUUAGUCGCCAUUAGGUCAGCCCAGAAAUGUGAGUCACCAGAUUUCCAUAGGACCUGUGAUAACGGUUUUGUGCCAAUGUAUUUUCGUUAAGGAGUGUUUCCCACACACUGUCCUCCGUAAGUAACUUAAAAAUCCACUUACCCAAGAGAGUUGAGUUCUUAACCUGUAUGUUAUGGAUACCCAGUCCUCCCAGGUCUUUUGAUCGGCAGACGACAUUCCAUUUAGCCAGUCGAUAUUUCUUUUUCUCACUAUCCCCUUGCCAAAAGAAUCUCUAUCGGAAAUAAUACAAUCUUUGUAAGACUCCUUCGGGUAGUUGGAAGAAAGAUAUCAUAUACUGUACCAUAUUAGUUAAUACUGAAUUUAUGAGAAGCAGUCUUCCUUCCGGGGAUAGCUAUUUUCCUUUCCAACUCGCGAGUCCUUUUUGCAGACGUUCUUCGAUGUGCUUCCAUUCGGCAUUCGUUAAUCUCCUAUAAUAUACCCCCUCCAUUCCUAAAUAUAAGGUGUAUUAGUUUUUUUAAAAACUCAACCGUUUUCUAUGUUUGACCAACGUUAUAGGAAAAUAUAUAAAUAUUUACAAUACCUAAUAUAUAAUAUGAAAAUAUAUUUCAAGGUGAAUCUAGUGAUAAUGAUUUUGUAUUCUAGAUAUUGAUAUUUUUGUCAAUAAACUUGGUCAAAGUUUCAGAAGUUUGACUUUUUGAAAAAAUAAUACACCUUAUAUUUAUUAAAGGGGGAGUAUUGCUAUGCCGAAAUACUUAAUAGGAAAUUGCCCUUGCUCACAUUCAAAUAACUCACCAUAUUGAGCAGUUGGGUCCUUAGCCUCGCCAAAACAGAACAAUUCACUUUUACGGAAAUUAAUUUUCGAUCCAGAUAAUUACUCGAACGUUGAUAAUGUUAAUUUCAGAUUCGCUGCUUUAUCUAGGUCGUAUUUCACAAAUAGAAUUGUGUCGUCUGCAUAUUGAAGGAUUGAUAACCCUCCAUCCACCAGAUGUGGGACCACCCCUGCAAUUUGACCAUCUUGUUUAGCCAGGUCAAUCAUGAUCGUUAACAUAUCCGCCACUAAAUUGAAUAGUAUUGGAGAUAUAGAGUGGAUAAUUCGCUUCUCAGCACGGGCUCAGAUGCUCCCGCUGACGAAACAAAUAAAAAGAAAUACUAAAAAAAUUCAAAAAAAUCCAAAUUUUUUUUUGAGUAGUAGACAAUUUGAUGCGCAAGGUCCGCUCCAAAUUUCACAUCAUUUGGACAUUCGAGCAUCUCUCAGCAAAAAAGACAAAUUGAGUCAAAAAAAUUGUAAACAGUGAACCUUUUUCACAGACCCAGAUUUUGUCUUUUUUGUUGAGAGCACCUCAGAUCCCCAAAUGAACUCAAAAUUGGAGCGGGCCUCGCGCAUCUAAUCAUCUACCACAUACAAAAAAUUUGGAUUGUUUUGAAUAUUUUUUGUAUUUGUUUUGAUUUUUUCCGUCGGCCCGGGUGCAGAUGCACCCGAGAGCCAAAACGCCGCACUCAUAUAGAGUCCCCUUGUCUUAAUUCCUUUUUUGUUUAGAAAUGGUGUCCUAUGUCAUCAUUGACUUUUACGUAAACGCUACCCCCAGAAACAAAGCUAUGGAUCAAGGCACACCAUUCCCGUAAGAACUCUUUCAUUCUAAGAGUAUGUUGGAUAACGACCAAUUAACUUUCUCAUAGGCUUUUUCAAUGUCUAUCUUGAAAAUUACACCAUUAAGUUUUUUAGUGUGCAUCUCAUGAACGGUUUCGUGUAAAACAACGACCCCAUCCAGGAUAUCACUCCAUGAUGUGUAAAGAGUAGUGUGUUCCCUCUGUUUGAUCACUAUAGUGAUAAUGUGGUAAAUAGAUAAGCGAUUCAACUUUUCAUGUCCUUUUAGCACAGAUAUGGGAUUGAUCAUACUAGCUAGCUUUAACCAGAUUUGAGCACCAUAUCAGGAAUCGAGUUCAGAGCAGUCAAAAUGCUCUCACCUAACAAAUCCCAAGGAAAAAUUAUAUAAUUCAAAAUGCAACAUGAAGUUGUAUAUCAUGAUGUUUGACAUUCCAUAUAGGUUGACAUCUAGAAUAUAUUCUGCUAACCCAAAAACCGGUGAUGAUAAGAUACUCUGGUAAAGGCCUACAUGGACCGAACACGAUUAGAUCCUGUUCUCUGGGGCGUGCGUAUAUAAAUAGAUGUUGGACGGAAGAAAGACUGCAAACCAAGAACUGAAGAGACCGAAGUUUGGUAGUGGUAAAUGCAGUAGCAGAGAGCAAGCCUUACAUGGCUGCAAGGGCCUUAUCUCUGAUAGCCAAGGAUGACUUGCCUGUGUCUUGUUCCUCCCUCAAGGCUUAAUUGGCCUUGGGGUGUCGUUUCAUGGGCAGUCUCCUUGGCUAGCCUGAGUGGCUCUUGCCGCUCAUGCUAGGCUGGCUCUUUCAUAAAUCAAUGCAUACUGAUGUUCAUGUUCAUGUUCCAUGCAUGGAGAAAAUUAACUCCGUGUGGUCGCGAAGAUGUACAAAAUGGAGGAUAUCAUCUUCUAACUCAAGGGGUUUUCGUGAUGGUAUGAAAGAUUAUAAAAGAGGACAAAUAAUACCCCACUAAGCCUGGUUGGUUGUGUAUAGUGUCCCUGUCAUUGAUAAUGAUAUGUGGCUUUCUGGCUUUACAAAACAUCAUCAUCAUAAAAUCUAACUUUUGGCCAGCUGAUUCCCAAUAUGCAGUACAGUUUCUUUGUCACCUUUUUCUAAAAUUAGUAUGGUUCUGUAUUAGUAGGAAGAUCUUCUCCAUCAAGGUCAGAGCCCCAACAGAUGGUCGCAAGUGACCACUGCAUGAUUCCAUCACUGCAGAAACAAAACGGGUUAAACAAGUGCAGGCAUAUGUACAAAAGCGCCAUUGCCGACAUACAGACAGCACGAAAUAUCAAGGGAAACAUAUUUAGGUCUGUAGGAAUCAUGGUUUUCAUUUUCAGUGACAUUUCAAUGAAAUUCAUUGAAUUUCAUUCAUUUCAGUAGACACUGAAAUAUUACGUUUCGGCCAAAAUAUUUCAGCAAUUUCAGUAGUACACUGGAAAUCAAAUAUUUUUCAAAAUAAUUUUCAAAAUUUUCAAAUAUUUAUUUAAAUUCAAGUGAAUAUUUCGGUCGUUUGGCCGAAAUGCAAACUGAAAUUACUGAAUUUCAGUGAUUUCGGUUGGUGCUGAAAUUUUUUCUGAACUGAAAUUCAAAACCAUGGUAGGAAUAAUGGGGUGAAUGCAGGUGAGAAGAUGAACAGAAAAUCUGGAGCUGAAGCUGCAGCUUUCCUGUGAAGCAGACUGAAACGCUGAAGCUCCAGCAGUCUUGGUCCAUUUUGUUUUGAAGUGUUCUUUACAAGCCGAGGGUUUUCCAUUUUGGUAGAUUCUGCAUCCAAGUUUCCCAGGCAUGUUGUUAUUUCUCAUCAGUUCUGGUAGUUUAAUACAACCAAAAAGAAAAGUAACCUUGAGGCGCAGAGCUAGAACCUGGGUCUGUGAUAUUGUGGAUGGAUGGACUUGUACAAGUCCUAGACCAAAGAGAAUUUCAAGCAUACCUUAUUGCAUUGCAAUGUAAGCCUGUGGAUCAAGCAUUUUUACGAAGAGGAUUAAUGAAUAUGUAAAUUUUAUUAUAAGUGACAUCACCAAGAGAUUAAUAAUGAUGUAAUAUAACUAGAGCAAAUGGAUGGACAAAGGUCUAUGUUGCUGCAUCUAUCACGGAUAUAUCUUGUGAAAAUGUGACUCGCCAGAACUAUAAGAGCAAGUACAAUAGUAUAGCCAGCUGCUGGCUAUAAGCCAUUGUCAUGUCAUCUAUAGCUUACCUUAUAGCCAACAUGUACAAUAGUUCAUUACAAAAAUGUACUGCUUUUUUAUUAUAUGGUCCACCUUUCAUACUCACAAAAUGCCUAGGAGCACGUGCUAGAGCUGGCUCUUAGCUAAGAGCCCUCUUACCUUCUCUCUCCUCUUCUCUUUCCUCUAACUAAACAAAAAUAUAGUAGUUUAUUCCUUAUAGCCAUGUACUUGCUCUAAGCAUGUCCUCCUUGCAGCAUGACUAUUUCAUUGAACAACGGCAUACUCGUUGAUGUGAUAAUCAUGAAGGAAAAAAUACAGCAGGAACUUAACCGGCGCCUCUUAGAAGCAUCAUUUUAUGAUAGCUCUUACAAUGAAAGUUGCGACAAAACACGAGUUCCUCCUGAAAUUCACGGAACAAUCGUGGUAUCCAUGAAUGGCUUCUGCAAAAUUGUCGUUAAUUUGGAACAUCUAUUCAUCUCUGAUACAACUGGAAAUAGCUUCGAACUUGUCCACAUAGAUAUCAUGUGGCAUUAGAUAUCAGCCAUGCUAAUACUUUUGCUUUUACCCUGAAUUUUACUAGCAUGUUAAUUCUUAAAACUGCUGGGAAAUACCAUACAGGUAGCCCAAUGCAUAUUUAUCUAAUAGAAUGGUUACUACAUUUUAUAUCUAUCAACGGAGUAGCUUGGUUUUUAAGAGUAAAAUACGUUCAAAUUAUCAAAAGACGAAAGAGAAAGGUGUAACAGUACCCGGAUGCCUAGGCAACUUCUAUGAACAGUAAAAUCAAAAAAAUAGAAAAAAAGGAUAAUAAAAUCUGAAACUUUGCAACAUAUAAGAUGGUCAAAUUUUGUAGGUUUUUACAAGUUUUCAUGCCAAGAUAUCAUGUAAAGAAAGGUGUACAAACAAGUUUCAGAUUUCGGUGCUAAAAGUGCUCAAAAUUUGAAGUAUUAAAAUGUUUUUCCUGUGUAGAGCUCCUGGAAUGUUUUAUUGGCAUGAAAACUUGGAAGCCCCUAGAAAUUUUGAUCAUCUUUGAUAUUGCAAAGUUUUAGAUUUUUUUUAUUUUUUUCUAUUUAUUUUGUUGUUACUGUUCAUAGAGGGCGCAUAGACACCCGGGUGCUGAAAAUUCACUUUCAAGACGAAAGAGUUGCUCCAUGCUAUGUAAAGAGCAGUGCAUUCCCUCUGUUUGAGCAUCAUAUCAGGAAUUACUUUCAGAGGAGUCAAAGUGCUCUCACCUAACAAAUCCCAAGGAAAUAUCAUAUAAUUUAAAAUGCAACAUAAAGUUGUAUAUCAUGAUGUUUGACAUUCCAUAUAGGUUGACAUCUCGAAUAUAUUCUGCUAGCCCAAAAACCGUGAUGAUAAGAUACUCUCGUAAAGGCCUACAUGCACCGAACACGAUUAGAUAUUGUUCUCUGGAACGUGCGUAUAUAAAUAGACGUUGGACGGAAGAAAGACUGCAAACCAAGAACCGAAGAGACCGAAGUCCAGUAGUAGUGAUGCAGCAGCGGAGAGCAAGCCUUACAUGGCUGCAAGGGCCUUAUCUCUGAUAGCCAAGGAUGACUUGCCUGUGUCUUGUUCCUCCCUCAAGGCUUAAUUGGUGGCCUUGGGGUGUGGUUUCAUGGGCAGUCUUCUUGGCUAGCCUGAGUGGCUCCUGCCGCCCAUGCUAGGCUGUCUCUUCAUAAAUCAAUGCAUACUGAUGUUCAUGUUCAUGUUCCAUGCAUGGAGAAAAUUAGCUCCGUAUGGUUGCGAAGAUGUGCAAAAUGGAGGAUACCAUCUUCUAACUCAAGGGGUUUUCGUGAUGGUAUGAAAGAUUAUAAAAGAGGAGAAAUAAUAUCCCACUAAGCCUGGUUAGUUGUGUAUAGUUUCCCUGUCAUUGAGAAUGACAUGUGGCUUUCUUCCUUUACAAAACAUCAUCAUCAGAAAAUCUAACUUUUGGCCAGCUGAUUCCCAAUAUGCAGUACAGUUUCUUUGUCACUUUUUUCUAAAAUUAGUAUGGUUCUGUAUUAAUUAGUAGGAAGAUCUUCCCCAUCAGGGUCAGGGCCCCAACACAUGGUCUCAAGUGGCCACUGCAUGAUUCCAUGGCUACACUGCCAGCAGGAAAACUCGACGGAUCAUAAUCAGAACUAUCUCCUCGGGAGCACAAGGGAUAACUGCCAAAAAACUCACACAAAACGUGAGUGCAUCUACCAGUGUGUAUCAGUUUCUUUUACCGUCUUCAGUCAAUCUCGUACUUUCGGUCUUCUAAUCUGCUCUGCGCUUGUAGAUGUUUUUUUCCCAUGUUUGAUUCAGAGUUCAAGGCAAUCCUGAAGGAAAAUCAUGGAAAGAAAAUCAUAAAGUGCAAAUAAUCAUGAUAUGGCCACACAACCCUGAAGACUGCCAGGAGUUACAGUUGUCUAAAUGUUUUGAAGCUCUGUCCUUUUAGCCAUUUUUCGGUGGUAGUAACCCUAGGAUGUUGAACUGUUUCCGUGUGAUCAUCAUGAUAUAUGGGUGAAGAGAUGUUAUGGUAAUCUGAUUUGGUAGUAUGUGUAUUCUUAUCCUCAGAUGUAUGUGUAAACUUGUGUAUGUUGCAAGUAUCACUUCCGAGACCUCUAUCUCUAUUUAUUUUCAUUCUUCCCUUUGGUCAGAUACUAAAAUGUACUCCCUCCGUUCCUAAAUAUAAGUCUUUUAAGAGAUUUGACUAGUGGUCUACAUACGUAGCAAAAUGAAUGAAUCUAUAUUCUAAAGUAUGUCUAUAUACAUCCGUAUGUAGUCCACUAGUGCAAUCUCUAAAAAGACUUAUAUUUAGGAACGGAGGGAGUAGUAUUUUUAUUGGACAUCCUCCUCACUAUUGAAAUUAGGGAUGCUCUAUGUUAUUCACACUAUGUGCCCGUUGUUUGUGUGGUCUUCUGUAUCACUGAGGAAACAAAAAAGGGUUAAACGAGUGCAGGCAUAUGUACAAAAACGCCAGUGUCGACGUGCAGACAGCGAAAUAUCAACGGAAACUUGUUUAGGUCUAUAGGAAUGGGGUGAAUGCAGGUGAGAAGAUGAACAGAAAGCUGGAGCUGCAGCUGAACCUGCAGCUUUCCUGUGAAGCAGACUGAAACGCUGAAGCUCCAGCAGUCUUGAUUCUGCAUCCAAGUUUCCCGGGAAUAUUGUUAUUUCUCAUCAGUUCUGGUAGUUUAAUACAACCAAAAAGAAAAGUAAUCUUCGGGCGCAGAGCUAGAACCUGGGUCUGUGAUGUUGUGGAUGGAUGGACUUGUACCAAGUCCAAGACCAAAGAGAAUUUCAAGCAUACCGUGUUGCAUUGCAAUGUAAGCCUGUGGAUCAUUGGAUCAAGCAUCUUAGAAGCGUAGUUUUAUGAUAUGAUAAUCAUGAAGGAAAAAAAAUCAGCAAGAACUUAACCGACGCAUCUUAGAAGCGUAGUUUUAUUAUAGUUCUUACAGUGAAAGUUGCCACAAAACCGACGCAUCUUAGAAGCGUAGUUUUAUUAUAGUUCUUACAGUGAAAGUUGCCACAAAACACGAGUAUCACCUGAAAUUCACAGAACAAUCAUGGGUUCCAUGAAUGGCUUCUGCAAAAUUGCCGUCUGGAACAUCUAUUCAUCUCUGAUACAACUGGACAUAGCUUCAAACUUCUCCACAUAGAUAUCAUGUGGCAUUAGAUAUUAGCGAUGCUUAUACUUUUGCUUUUACCCUGAAUUUCACUGGCAUAUUAAUUCUUAAAACUGCUGGGAAACACCAUACAGGGAGCACAGUGCAAUGUUAUUUAAUAGAAAUGCUUACUGUAUUUUAAGCUGUUAACGGAGUAUCUUGGUUUGUUAGAUCAAAAUAUUUUUUCUUCAAAUUAUUGAUGUUUAGUAUUUUAUUUUAUUUCGCUAAAGAAGACUCCAACUUAAGUUAAUAUGCACACCCUAAGUUAGUUCCAGCAUUUAUGGAGUAUAUGGUUAAGAAAUUAUUUAGCCUCUUCUGUCUUUAGUAUCACACUGAUAUGUGUCAUAUGUACUUGAUCAUUCCAUGUUUCCAUACUCUUUGGCUUAUCUGAAGAUGAAAUUAUCGCUCCAUGCUGUGUAAAGAGCAGUGUGUUCCCCGUGUCUGAUCACUAUAGUGAUAAUGUGGUAAAUCAGAUAAGCGAUUCAACUUUCCGUGUCGUUUUAGCAGAGAUAUGGGAUUGAUCAUGCUGCUAGCUUUAAGCAGAUUUGAGCAUCAUAUCAGGACUCGCUUUCAGAGGAGUCAAUAUACUCCCACCUCAUAAUUCCCAAGGAAAAAUCAUAUAAGUCAAAAUGCAACAUGAAGUUGUAUAUCAUGAUGUUUGACAUUCCAUAUAGGUUGACAUCUAGAAUAUAUUCUGCUAGCAGAAAAAACGGUGAUGAUAAGAUACUCUGGUAAAGGCUUACAUGCACCAAACACAAUUAGAUCUUGUUCUCUAAGACAUGCAGAUAUAAAUAGAUGCUGGAUGGAAGAGACACUGCAAACCAAGAACCGAAGAGAACAAAGUUCAGUAGUAGUAACGCGUUAGCAGAGAGCAAGCCUUACAUGGCUGCAAGGGCCUUAUCUCUGAUAGCCAAGGAUGACUUGCCUGUGUCUUGCUCCUCCCUCGAGGCUUAAUUGGCCUUGGGGUGUGGUUUCAUGGGCAAUUUCCUUGGCUAGCCUGAGUGGCUCUUGCCGCCCAUGCUAGGCUGGCUCUUUCAUAAAUCAAUGUAUGCUGAUGUUCAUGUUCAUCUUCAUGUUCCAUGCAUGAAGAAAGUUACUUCAGUGUGGUCGCGAAGAUGUACCAUCUUCUAACUUUAGGUUUUUUUGUGAUGGUUUGAAAGAUUAUAAAAGAGGAGAAAUAAGCCCACUAAGCCUGAUUAAUUAUGCAUAGUGUCCUUGCCAUUGACAAUGGCAUCUGGGUUUCUGGCUUUACUAAACAUCAUCGUCGUAAAAUCUAACUUUUGGCCAGCUGAUUCCCCAAUAUGCAGCACAGUUUUUUCUUCCAUUCUUCUAAAAUUAGUACAGUUCUUUAUUAGUAGCUGUAAGUUCAACUGUUUCUGUAUGAUCAUAUUAUGACAUUCGGCUAAUGUUAUGGUACUCAUCUUUCUUAGUGUUUAUUUGCUCAGAUAUAAGCCUGUGCCUGUUGUAAGUAUAUAAUGCUCUAUAUUGAUCCACACUGUGUGCCAGUCUUCUGUAUCACCCAGGAAGCCAAAAAGGAUUAAAAUAUUGCAUUGUUUAAGCUUGUAGGAGGAAUUGGGUGAAAUUCAGGUGAGGUCAACAGGAAAAUCGCAGCAGUUCGUAUCAAGCUCAGAACAUUUUGUUUUCAAGUUCUUAUUUGCAUUGUGCAAGUUUCCCAGGAAUGUUGUUCUUGUUUCUCAACCCAAAAAAAAGUUGAAGGGGAGCUGUAAAUUUCAGGCACAUCUAUCAUAAAUAUGUGGGUUAGAGUUUGAAUUUUGAAACCAACUGCUUUCCGCGAACACAGCGGCAUACUCGAUGUCGUGGUAAUCAUGAAGAAACAACAUAUAUAUAUAUACUGCAAAUAUGUAUGGAUCGGAGUGUAAGCAUACAGUUGGUCGCACGACGCUUAAACUGUCAAGACAAACAGUUGUCUGAAUACUUGGAAGCUGCUAAGCUCUGUCCUUUUAGCCAUUUUUUCGGUAGCGACAUCCCUAGGCUGUUGAGCUGUUUCUGUGUGAUCAUCAUGUUAUGUGGGUGAAGAGAUAUCAUGGUACUCUCCUUUGUUAGUAUGUACUGUAUGUGUCACUGUCGCGUGAAAUAUCAGCAGAAAGUUAUUUAGGCCAGUAGGAAUAGGGUGAACUCAGGUGAGAAGACCAACAGAAACGCUGGAGCUGAAGCUGCAGCUUUCCGGUGCAGUGCGGUGCAGCAUACCUUUGUUGGUUUGUUGCGCUCCUGUCGCUAGCAGCUGUAAGCCUGUGGACUGAGCAUUUGUAGUAAGAAGAUUAACCAAUGUAAAGGUUAAGUAGCAUCAACAAAACAUACGUAUAAUGAUUUUAUUAUAACUAGAUCACAGGAAUGGCCACGAAUUACGACAGGAAUAUAAAUUCCACUCCAGUUGAUACUUUUAAGGCCAUUUCUUUCCUUGCAGCCAGCAUGACUAUUUUGUUAGACAACCACAUAUUCGCUGCCAUGUUAAUCAUGGAAGAAGAAUAUCUCGUGAAAAUUGUGACUAGCCAGACCUAUAAGCAAGUCCUAUGUCGACUCUGAAGACUGUCAAGAGUAACAAGUUAGAGCUUUGACAAUGAUACCAAAUUAGAUGGCCAGAACUUUUCACAUUAUUGUUACCAAGUUUUUUUUGUUUUUUUAAGGAAAACUGUAAGGGAAACCCCCACAUCGAGUUUUUUUUAAAUAAUAAGAACCCAAAUUCGCAUCCGUGGGGACUUGAACCUGGGUGGCUGGGUUGUACAUCCACUCCACUAGCCUUCUUAUUGUUACCAAGUUAGAGCAUGCUUUGCCAUUAAAGAGAAAUUCAAAGAAAGGAACAUAACAGAUUUCUGUGUGACAGAUUAUAAUAUGCUAAUAUAUGUAUGUACUGCAUAAAGAAGAACUGAAUGGUGUUUUGCUAUCGAUUUUCGUCUCCUGCUGAUACAACAGUACAGGUUCAGAAUUGAGGCGCACUGCCAUCUAAAUUGGUAAAAGAGAACCAUCAGAACCACAUGCAAGAGAGAAAGAGAAAGAUCAUCCAAUCCAAAGCAUGCUAUCCAGAACAGAACACAAAGUUGAAUCAUAUUUGUGCACUCCGCUGGACCCUCUGCUAGUUGAUCUACAAAAUGUAGUGAACUCAUCGUACUUGAAUCUGGUGUCCUAUAAGCAGAAGAAUGUGAUUUCCAAUCCUGAUACAUGUUGGUCUGGUUGCUUUAGUGUGAACCUGAGCUCCAUUUGGCCUGCACAUAUGACACACAUAAUAAUCGCUCCAUUCUGUCAUGUUUCCAUCCUUAAUCGCUCCAUUCUGUCAUGUUUCCAUCCUUUUUUGCUCAUCUAAAGACGAAAUUAUCGCUCCAUGCUGUGUAAAGAGUAGUGCGUUCACUCUGUUUGAUCACUAUAGUGAUAAUGUGGUAAAUUAGGCGAGCAAUUCAAUUUUAAGUGUCUUUUUAGCAAAGAUAUGGGAUUGAUCAUGCUAGCCAGCUUUAAGCAGAUUUGAGCAUCAUAUCAGGAAUCGCUUUCAGAGGAGUCAAAAUGCUCUCAUCUCUAUAAAUCAAAAUGCAACAUAAAGUAGCUGUAUAUCAUGAUAUUUGACAUUCCAUAUACGUUGGCAUCUAGAAUAUAUUCUGCUAGCCCAAAAAGCGGUAAUGAUAAGAUACUCUGGUAGAGGCCUACAAGCAACAAAGACAACCAUUAGAUCUUGUUCUCUAAGACAUGCAGAUAUAAAUAGAUGCUGGAUGGAAGAGACACUGCAAACCAAGAAACGAAGAGAACAAAGUUCAGUAGUAGUAACGCUUUAGCAGAGAGCAAGCCUUACAUGGCUGCAAGGGCCUUAUCUCUGAUAGCCAAGGAUGACUUGCCUGUGUCUUGUUCCUCCCUCAAGGCUUAAUUGGCCUUGGGGUGUCGUUUCAUGGGCAGUCUCCUUGGCUAGCCUGAGUGGCUCCUGCUGCCCAUGCUAGGAUGUCUCUUUCAUGAAUCAAUGCAUACUGAUGUUCAUCUUCAUGUUCCAUGCAUGGAGAAAAUUAGCUCGGUGCGGUCGCGGAGAUGUACAAAAUGGUACCAUCUUCUAACUCGAGGUUUUCUUGUGAUGGUAUGAAAGAUUGUAAAAGAGGAGAAGUAAGCCCACUAAACCUGGUUAAUUGUGCAUAGUGUCCUUGUCAUUGGCAAUGACAUCUGGCUUUACAGAACAUCAUAAUCAUAAAAUCUAACUUUUGGCCAGUUGAUUCCCCAAUAUGCAGCACAGUUUCUUCAUCCCUUUUUCUAAAAUUAGUAUGGUUCUGUAUUAGUAGCGCAAAAUAUGUGAAUGUGGCAGUUCAUAAUGAC